rnacentral:rRNA from 1 species
AGAGUUUGAUCCUGGCUCAGGACGAACGCUGGCGGCGUGCUUAACACAUGCAAGUCGAGCGACGCGCCUUCGGGUGACGGAGCGGCGAACGGGUGAGUAACACGUGGGCAACCUGCCCCUAGCUCUGGGAUAACUCCGGGAAACCGGGGCUAAUACCGGAUAGGACCUCGGAGGGCAUCUUCUGGGGUGGAAAGUUUUUCGGCUAGGGAUGGGCCCGCGGCCUAUCUGCUUGUUGGUGGGGUCACGGCCCACCAAGGCGACGACGGGUAGCCGGCCUGAGAGGGCGACCGGCCACACUGGGACUGAGACACGGCCCAGACUCCUACGGGAGGCAGCAGUGGGGAAUAUUGCGCAAUGGGCGGAAGCCUGACGCAGCGACGCCGCGUGGGGGAUGAAGGCCUUCGGGUUGUAAACCUCUUUCAGCAGGGACGAAUUCAGACGGUACCUGCAGAAGAAGCACCGGCCAACUACGUGCCAGCAGCCGCGGUAAUACGUAGGGUGCAAGCGUUGUCCGGAAUUAUUGGGCGUAAAGAGCUCGUAGGCGGUCUGUCGCGUCGGCUGUGAAAACUUGGGGCUCAACCCCAAGCCUGCAGUCGAUACGGGCAGACUAGAGUGCGGUAGGGGAGACUGGAAUUCCUGGUGUAGCGGUGAAAUGCGCAGAUAUCAGGAGGAACACCGGUGGCGAAGGCGGGUCUCUGGGCCGUAACUGACGCUGAGGAGCGAAAGCGUGGGGAGCGAACAGGAUUAGAUACCCCGGUAGUCC